GGAACAUACUAGCAACUUAUUCGGCUCAGGGCUCUUCACGUGCUGGCUCGCCGGGCUGCAGGUACAUGGCUGAGAAUAUUGAAGACUCCGAUCUGCAAGCAUGGGCUCUCACCAUUGCAAAAGUGUACGGUAGCCAUGCGCAUGCUAGCAUAUUGCACCCCUGCAGAUGCCCUUGAUGAGUACUUGAAGGUUGGGAAGUCCACUGCAUUAGAGUGUCUGGACAGGUUUGCACGGGGGCUGAUUCAGGUGUCACAAGAACAAUUGAUGACAUGACCUUUAUGUGAUCUGAUUCAGAGGAAAGUUUGGAAGCUGGUAAGCAGAGUGAGAGGAUCUGCCUCAUUCUGCCCCUAACAAAGGUGCUGCUGUUACCCCAGUCUCGUAGGCUAAUCUUGCUACCUUCAAAAGGCUGCUCAGUGAUGAUA